rnacentral:lncRNA from 1 species
CUGCAAAUCGUAUGUCUGAUAAAAGACAUUUAAAGAACUUUGUUAAAUUUAACAACAAGAAAACACACAACUUGGGUUUUUUAAAAGGUGCAAAAGAUUUGAAUAGACAUAUCUCCAAAGAUAUACAAAUGGUCAAUAAGUACAUGAAAAUCGUGCAACAUCACUAAUCAAUAGGCAAAUGUAAAUCAAAACCACAGUGAGAUACCACUUCAAAUCCAUUCAGAAUUACAGCAAUUAUGAAAAAGAAAACCCAGAAAAUAUCAAGUGUUAGUGAGGAUUUGGGAAAAUAGGGACCCUUAUGCAGUACAUGAUCACACACUGUUACUUGUCUUUUUCUCUCUGUUAGACAUGAGCUACCAUAUCCAGCCUGCACUCAACAGCAGGGGAUUGUGCAAGAGAGAACUCCAACCAGCCGGGGUCACUGGGGCCAUAUUGGAGACUGGCUACCAAGUACCUCCUGUGGGCAUUUGACAUUUGUCUACUCCUCACAGUAUUCUUGCCAGCUAUGAAUUAUUUUUGCUAUUUAAAAAAUUGAAAAAUGAAAAACUAAAUACGAUUGUGGCAGCCAUGAAAAUGUUCUGUUCAGAUCUCCUUCAGGAGAACCUUCUGGGAGGUGGGGUAUAGUUGACUCACAGCCACUGCCACUUCUCUGGAAUCAUCUCUGACUUUGCACCGAGGCCUUGCUCCUAGUUAGGGACUGAACACAGCCAGGGUACCAGAGAUGGCCCAUUCCUGUUGGAGUCAGGACUCAUCUAAUUGGCAAUGUUCACGCACGGAUUCCACAUCAGCCUGACUGACCCUCUCUGGAGGUCUAGGUCUCCUCCUCUACAACCCUCCUUUCUUACCACUCAACUUUGACACAGAUGCCAGACCUGACUUGAAGUGCAUGCACGGUUUUGAAGAGGAAGUAUCAUCUGAGACCUACUGCACGAGCUCAGAUUAAUUCAGUAUUACUGGGCUAUAAAUGUAAGUGACACAGCCUUUUCCUCACCAUUUGGGAAGACCAUUUCUGAAGGAGUGCCUUGCGCAGAUGACUUGGAAGUGGAGCUGGUUACAGUUGAUUUAAGGGAUAGUGCCAACAAUUUGUGCUCAAAGGUUUUCUUCAGUCUCUUCUGUUUAUACCCAACAUUUAACUCAUACUGGCUGCUUCCAUUUGAAAUAAUGCAAAAAAAAAAUGUUAAAAUAUAAAACUUACCAAAUUUUACACUAUAAUCAAUGACUAUUAUGAUACCUCAAUAGUCCUGUUAAAAAAAUAUAAAGUCCUAGGGCAGGCAGCAGAGGAGGUGAGGGAGAGGGGAAAUAAUAGGGAAUGAUACUGACCAAAUUAUAUUUUUAUAUUGUGUGUAUGGAUGAAUGUUUAGCAACAGAUCUCACUAUUAUGUAUAAUUAUAAUGCAUCAAUAAAAAUGGGAAAAAUAUAAAGCCCCCACCCACCCCUGCCAAAAAAACAAAACAAAACAAAACAUGGAGUACGUACUAUGUCUCAUCCUGGGGUGGGAGACCUAGUGCCCACUUCCAACACUUCUUCUGCACCUAUCACAUAAUUCACUCCUAGUAGCUAUGUUGGUUGAGAUUUUUUUAUGUGUGCAGCUAUUUCAUAUGAAAUAUUUUUUAAUCUUCCAGACAGGGGGUAGGGGAGAAAUUGAAAUCAUUGCUCUAUUUUCCAAAUAAGUAAAUUUGGGCUAAGUGUUGAAAUAAUUUGCUGAAAGUCAUUCAGCUAAGAAGAAUCAGAGCUCAGAUAUGACUCCAAAGACCUUGCUUGGGCCGUUAAAAUGUAUAGUGCUUGUACCUCCUCCCACUGUGUGUCAUUUAUGAAUGAAAAACUUACUCUAGUGUCUGGUACACAGCAGGCACUCAACAAAUAUUAGUGUUCUUCCUAGAUAACCCUCCAACUGGAAAUCUGUCAGGUAUAAUUUUAUAGUGUUCAGUACCAGUUACUUAGAAAUAACUGAAGCCUUGCUUCAACAUCCUCAUGUAUUAUUCUAUUAACUAAUUCACUUUUAAAACACCUAACAUGUGUCAGGCAUUGUGCUAGCACUAAAGAUAGAGGACUAGUUUUCUGUAGCUGUUAUAACAAAUUACCAUAAACCAGUGGCUUAAAAGAAUAGAAAUUGAUUCUUUCAUAGAUCUGGAAGCCAGAAGUAUGAGCUCAGGGUGAUAUCAGCAGGGCCCACCUCUCUCAGAAGGAUAUAAGGAAUUAUCCUUCCUUUUAUUUUAUUUUAUUUUUGUAUGUGUCUUCUUGUUGUUGUUGUUGUUCUAAUCAGUUAUACCGGACAGCAGAGUGCUCUUUGAUUCAUUGACAUACUCCACUUUUGAUGGGACACGGAAUGGCUUUAUUUGGAGCCAGCUGAGUUCCCACAGGGACUUGCUGAAAAAUUGCCCUUUCACCCCCACAAACACAUACACACUUCCAACUCCCACCAUCUCCUCCAGGUGGCCUGGGAGUACAGAGAGGGAGGUCUCUGUGCAGGAAGCCCACAUCUCUGUAGGGGGUAUGAAACUUACUCCGUAAGUGGGAGGAACUGAAAUAAGCCUCUGCUUAUAAUAAUUUGGGGACUACCAGAAUCUGUCAUAGAAAAUUGCCUCUGGCUCCACCAUACAGGAUUUGGAGCUUCUAGAUGCACAAGAGGUAAGGAACCUGGGAUAAGGCAUUCUCCUUCCCAGUCUUGGGGUGUCAGGGGUACCUGAGGUUCCUGGGAGUCAGUAAGACCCUGCAGAAGGUGCUGUGGUUGUUUUAGCCAGCUUUUUCACUACUAUGACAAAAAGGACCCAACCAGAAUAACUGUAGAGGUGGGAAAGUUUAUUUGGGGGCUCAUGGUUUUAGAGAUCUCAAUCCAUAGACAGCAGACUCCAUUCCUCGGGGCUCAAGAUGAGGCUGAACAUUAUGACAGAAGAGUGUGACACAGGCAAGCAGUUCACAUGAUGAUCAGAAAGCAGAGAGAGAGAGACUCCACUUGCCAGCUCCACAAGCCACAACCCUCAUGCCCCACCUCCUCCAGCCACACCCCACCUGCCUCCAGUUACCACUCAGUUAAUCCCAUCAGGUGAUUAAUUCACUGAUUGGAUUAAGGCUCUCAGAACCCAAUUAUUUCUUCUUUGAACCUUCUUGCAUUGUCUCACAAGUGAGCUUUUGGGGGACACCUCACAUCCAAACCAUAACAGUGGUUUAUGCUAUCUUGCCAGUCUCCACCCACCUGCCCUACAAGGCUGCCAGUGGGGGAGGGAGCCCUCAGCCACAGGUGUCAGAGGUGGGGAUUACCGGCAGAGAGUUGAUGUUCAGAAGCAAAAUGAACCCUGAUCUCCCAUACCAGGGGGAAAGUGAGACCCUCACAGGGCCCUGCAGCGACUCAACAAAUGGGCUUCCCAGGAGAGCCCAUAUUUGGAUGCCUGCCAUCCACAGGGAACAAAUGGCCUGUCAGUGUCAAAUGGAGGAGCUGUGGUGACCAACAGAGAGGAUUAUAGGCUUACAACAAGCAGUCAAGUAAGAUGAUACUCCCUCCCCUUUCUCCUCCUGUCCCCAGUACCAAAGCAGAGCAUGCUGGGAACCAGAGGAAGCCAGACCACCCUCUCAGACCCGGGCAACAGUCUCAACCUUGGCUGCACAUUGGAGUCACCCUGGGAAGUGAAGAGUCUUGAUGUGCCCAGAUACUGGUCUGGAGUAGAAUCUCAGCAUUGAAGUUUUUAAUGAGAAGCCAGGACUGAGAACCGCUUCUCUAAAGCCAAACUAGUCGCCUGUGCUUGGCAGAAUAGGGUGGCCAGAUAUAGCAGAUAAAAAUAAAAGUAUUCUAUGAGACACACAUAGAGUCAAAAUUAUUGUUUAUCUAAAAUCGACAGUUUACCGACGUUCUGUGUUUUAUCUGGCAAUCCUAAGCGGGGAGGAAAAUAUUUGAAAUGGAUAGAAGAUGGAAAUUGGAAAAUGAAGAGGUUGGAGUGUUAAAGAUCAAAAAUAACUGUUUAAUAAUAGAAGGUGACUGAAACAGUGUGGGAUUGGGCUAAUGUGUCACCAAAGGAGCUGCUACCCAAGGGAGAAAUUGGGGAGGAUUUGACAUAAGCAUACUUCAGUAAAAUGAAACCAUUCCAUGUUUAGGCCUCUGGUAUGUUGAGACUCCCAGUAAACCAGUUAUAUCAUUAUGACCAAUAAACUUGUUUGAGAGAUGAGCAAUGGAAGUCUGGAGAACUGAUGUCAUUUGUGUAGGCUCACACAGCUGGAAAGUAACAGGGCCAGGAUUAGAACCCCAGUCAAUUUGAGUUUAUGAAAAGAAAAAAAAAAAAAAAGAAAAAGUUCUUUCUAUGGUACCAUAACCUCCUUUAGAAUUUUUUCUUGAUACUAGUAAUAGUGGACUGAUUCCCUAUAACAGAGCUAACCUGUCCAAAUGACCACCUUUCUGAAGCCAAAGUAGUAGCCUGUCCUUCGGGGACAGUAUCGGGUGGCCAGAUUUAGCAGAUAAAAAUAAAAGUGUUACAUGAGACCUGCUUAGAGUCAAACAUUAUUUGUUCAUCUCAAAUUCUAAUUUUGCUGGGCAUUCUUGUAUUUUAUCUGGCAACCCCAGGAGGGGAAGAAAAAGUAUUUGAAUGGCUAACAUCAUAAAAGGGCAGAGUGUGGAGAAGCCAGGGCUGGGGUUGUGAGUUUUGGACCCGGCAGACGGGCCCCAUGGCUGGCCUUGCUACCAUCUGUAGGUGACAGGGUGAGGGCUGAGCAGGAAACACUUCUGCCUCCUUGUCCUCUCAGUUACUGAGCAGCCAAAUGGCGGUGGCUGCCUGAAUGUUUAUUUGGCGGCAAUCUCUGCCGCUCCAUCAUGAUAUCUACUGCUUAUAUUUCUGUAUUUUAAUUAAAUGUCAUCUCAAC